rnacentral:lncRNA from 1 species
GUACACUUCCCAGCCGGAUCUUGAUUUCAGGAGCCUUGGGUCUGAUCACUGCCAUGGAGGUAGUCUGGGCAGCAGCAGGGUAUUUGGUGGCCUGCUUCUCUGGCUGUUUGUCCUUGGGUGUCUGCUGGAUGUUGGGAACAAAGAGUCGAGACAUGAUGGUGGACUUGCUGGCCGAGAUCUCCCCAAGAUCAGCCCUCCAGUCCCCACCUUUGGGGAGCUUCAGCUUCCCGAUGGGAACUUUCUCCUCCAGCUUCUCCGCCUCCUUCUCCUUCCAUGUCCGGAAGGCGCUGUUCUGACUCCGAAGGAAGAUGCCCUUCACGGUCUCUGAAGCACUCUUUUUAAUUUCACACACUUCUGUGUGUCCGUCGGAGAGAUUUCGGCCGGAGCCCGUGUUACUCUCUCGAGGAGUAC